rnacentral:lncRNA from 1 species
UCCUCAAUUUUUUCGAAAUAUAAAUAAUUAGGGUUUAUAAGUUAAUCGAUUAUUGGAUUGAAAUGGAAUGAAUUAAUCAUGAAUCGAUUUGGGGUUAUGGGAAAUUGAAGAUUAUUUUUACCUGACAAAGAUCUAAACCUGAGGCCCAUGAAACUCUCUUCGAUUUUUGCAAUCCACGCAUGUUUACACAAACAACAAAAAAAACGAUACAGUAACAAAAAAAACGAACGUUNNN